UACGUAGGGCGCGAGCGUUGUCCGGAAUUAUUGGGCGUAAAGAGCUCGUAGGCGGCCUGUUGCGUCCGCUGUGAAAUCCCAGGGCUUAACCCUGGGCGUGCAGUGGAUACGGGCAGGCUGGAGGCAGGCAGGGGAGAACGGAAUUCCCGGUGUAGCGGUGAAAUGCGCAGAUAUCGGGAGGAACACCUGUGGCGAAGGCGGCCCCCUGGGCCGGCCCUGACACUGAGACGCGAAGGCGUGGGGAGCGAACGGG
rnacentral:rRNA from 1 species